AUUGAACGCUGGCGGCAGGCUUAACACAUGCAAGUCGAGCGGGGUGAUGGUGCUUGCACUAUCACUUAGCGGCGGACGGGUGAGUAAUGCUUAGGAAUCUGCCUAUUAGUGGGGGACAACAUCUCGAAAGGGAUGCUAAUACCGCAUACGUCCUACGGGAGAAAGCAGGGGAUCACUUGUGACCUUGCGCUAAUAGAUGAGCCUAAGUCGGAUUAGCUAGUUGGUGGGGUAAAGGCCUACCAAGGCGAGGAUCUGUAGCGGGUCUGAGAGGAUGAUCCGCCACACGGGGACUGGGACACGGCCCAGACUCCUACGGGAGGAAGCAGUGGGGAAUAUUGGACAAUGGGGGAACCCUGAUCCAGCCAUGCCGCGUGUGUGAAGAAGGCCUUAUGGUUGUAAAGCACUUUAAGCGAGGAGGAGGCUCUUUUGGUUAAUACCCAAGAUGAGUGGACGUUACUCGCAGAAUAAGCACCGGCUAACUCUGUGCCAGCAGCCGCCGUAA
rnacentral:rRNA from 1 species